GGAGCAUCGGCAAGACUCCUGUCUCAAGAGCCGAGCUCUCUGAGUGAGCAAUUCUUGUCCCUUUUAAGGGCUCACAACUCUAAGGGAGUCCACUUGAGAGGGUCGUGAUCGAUUGAGCAAGCAGGGCAUCAUAAGCUUCAAAUGGGGGAAAAAAAACCCGAAACUUAUACUUUUUCUGCAUUUAACCAACAUUUACUGGGCACCAGCUAAGAUUUGACAUCAUGAUGGAAUGGACUAACAGUGAAUAAGACAUGGUUUCUGUAUGAUUACAAUUUGACAGGGCAGCUUGUGACCAUUUCAGCCAGAAGAAUAUGGCAGAAGGAGCCUGUGAGCCUUCCAAGAAAAGGUCAUCAAAGGCCAUGCAGCUUCAGCCUUAUUCUCUAGGGACACUUGCUCUGCAGAAAGCCAGCAAUCCUGUAUGAAUUCUGGCGAGCCUUGGAGCACGCUACAGAGGUGUUGUGUAGAUGAUCUAGUUGUCAGCACCAGCUGAGUUUCCCAGGCACAGUCAGCUGUGUGAGUGCACUGUUUGCAAGGUCCAACCCAGUUGUAUCUUUAGAUGACUACAGCACCAAAUGACAGAGUGAUUCCAAGCACAAACUGUUCAUGUGAGCCCUUCCUAAAUACUUGACCUACAAAAUCAUGUGUAGAACAAAAUGUUUCCUGUUUCACACCACUAAAUGUUAGAGAAGUCUCUAAUAAGUAACAACAGACUAGGAAGUAAAAGUGAGUCUUGAAUUGGGAGACUGGGAAUUACAAUGGUGAGGUGGGGGCACAUGUUAAGAGAGGCAGCUUGGAAUGACAGGAUUUAGGGACAGAUUCGAUAUGGGAAACACGACAAAGGGAGGAAUCAAAGAUAUUGCCAUUUUCUGUCUAGGUAAAUAAUGGAAUUUUAGUUCUAUUAACUGAAAUCAUUAAUAUCUAGAAUUUCCCUAUUUAAUUGUUCACUCAUUCAAUCAAUCCUUCACUUAACAAAUGGUUGAGUAUGCAAUGUGUGUUAGUUAGCAUGCUACAAACUAGCAAUACAAAGAAAAAAGAUGUUGAGUCUCACCCACAAAGAGCUUUCAGCCUAGAAGUGGAAACAUGGACUGCAAGCUGUGGAUUACACUCCAGCAAAGGGUCAGCUCAGGUGAAAUCGGACAAAAAGAUGAAUUAAAAAAUGGGAGGUUCAAUAUCAGUGAAGAUUUGUUCAUGAAACUUCUGAGAUUUUUCUCCUGAGAAUCUGACCCAUGCUUUUUGCAUCUACAUUCCUCUCAUCUGGGGGCACAUAAUUCUGGUGCUGUUGAGUAUGCUUCUCCAUUUUCUAUUAAGUAAAUAUUCUAGUCUGAUUUCUUAGCCCAGUACUGCAGGCUCUCCGAAAGUAUCUCUCUAAAUGUGGUUCCCACAGUCUCCAUUGAUCUCUGUCACCAGUAAUAUUGAGCUGUUUAUUGUCUCUCUAAUAUGUUGUGUUCACUACAGUCUCCAAAGCUUUGCUCCCUGCCUGGUGCAUUCUCUCCUCUUCUCUCUUCUCAAAGUCCAGUCAAAGCCCAAUUCAAAUUAUAUCUCCUUGCUAAGGUCAUCACAUUGCAAUGUUUCUCCUCUUCCUGAGUUCCCACAGUACUUUGUGACUAGAAUAUUCAUUGAGAACUUUUGCAGUGCUAUUCUAUCUAGAUAGAUAUAGAUAUAAUAGAUAGAUAUAGGUAUACUCUAUAUCUCUAAGUAUGUUUUAUCUCCCUAGCCAAAUGCUUUUACAAGAUAAAGACCAAAACUUGUAUUUAAAAAUCUAUGCCUAGCACUAUGAAUUAUACCUAGGAGCCAUCUGACUGGUAUUUCAAAGUCCUGAUAAUACUACUGACAUUAAUUCUGCUUCCUAGUAUUUCAAAUACUGCUUGUUUAUAGUUGAAGUAAAUCCAUUGUUUAAAAUCUUAUACCAUCUUAUAAAACCCAGUUUAAAAUCUGAUUUCCUUCAUAAGUAUUACAUUUUAAUGGUUAUGAUUGGUCAUUCGAGAAUGGAUUCUUUUUCCAUUCUCUAAUUUUUUGCAUGUUUUCAGAAAUUAAAAAAAUAUAUUAUUGUUACCUGGAUUACAAACAACCUGAUUCUACAAAUCUGGGAUGUUAGAAAAUAGAAACUCUGAUAUCUGGACCUAGUUUUUCCAAAUCUUAACUCUUUUUAUAGAGAACACAGAACUUCAAAUAAAAUCUUCUAAUAAACAAAUAUUAAUUUAGUUAUAAUUUUUAUUUAAGCCAAACCAAGGAGAGAAUAUAAAUGGGAUUAAUCUCUUAAAUUAUUAGGGUAAAAAAUUUAACCAUAUAUAUACUACUUAAACAUGUUAUAAUUUUCUAGGUCUAGAGCCAACACAGAAAUUACCUAGUUCCAUCAAUAAGUUAAGGAAAAUAAGGCAGAUUGUUAGAGAAACAUGUUAUUUUCCUAAAGGUUGAGGAAACCCUGACAAUCUGUAGUGAGGGCUAAAGGUCUAGCAGCGGAUGUGUUAUUGAAGCCUCCCCUGGGAAACAAAACUAAUUGACCCCAAUAAAGCUCAUGUUGACC